AUUGAACGCUGGCGGCAGGCCUAACACAUGCAAGUCGAACGGUAACAGGAAACAGCUUUCUGUUUCGCUGACGAGUGGCGGACGGGUGAGUAAUGUCUGGGAAACUGCCUGAUGGAGGGGGAUAACUACUGGAAACGGUAGCUAAUACCGCAUAACGUCGCAAGACCAAAGAGGGGGACCUUCUGGCCUCUUGCCAUCGGAUGUGCCCAGAUGGGAUUUGCUAGUAGGUGGGGUAACGGCUCACCUAGGCGACGAUCCCUAGCUGGUCUGAGAGGGUGACCAGCCACACUGGAACUGAGACACGGUCCAGACUCCUACGGGAGGCAGCAGUGGGGAAUAUUGCACAAUGGGCGCAAGCCUGAUGCAGCCAUGCCGCGUGUAUGAAGAAGGCCUUCGGGUUGUAAAGUACUUUCAGCGGGGAGGAAAGGAGUAAAGUUAAUACCUUUACUCAUUGACGUUACCCGCAGAAGAAGCACCGGCUAACUCCGUG
rnacentral:rRNA from 1 species